GGCUCGGUGGCGGGUGGUCCGCGUCUGCAGCUUGCAGGACAGUCAGCUGCUAAUGCAGGAGGUGCUCGUUCGAUCCGAGCCCGAGCCA